rnacentral:rRNA from 1 species
UACGAAGGGGGCUAGCGUUGCUCGGAAUCACUGGGCGUAAAGCGCACGUAGGCGGGUCUUUAAGUCAGGGGUGAAAUCCUGGAGCUCAACUCCAGAACUGCCUUUGAUACUGAAGAUCUUGAGUUCGGGAGAGGUGAGUGGAACUGCGAGUGUAGAGGUGAAAUCGUAGAUAUUCGCAAGAACACCAGUGGCGAAGGCGGCUCACUGGCCCGAUACUGACGCUGAGGCACGAAAGCGUGGGGAGCAAACAGGG